rnacentral:rRNA from 1 species
UUGGAGGGCAAGUCUGGUGCCAGCAGCCGCGGUGAUUCCAGCUCCAAUAGCGUAUAUUAAAGUUGUUGCAGUUAAAAAGCUCGUAGUUGAAUUUCGGGGUUCUACCGUUGGUCGGGCUUUGUCUGUACUGGUGUGUAGAAUUUCUACCUUCUGGGGAACCAUCAUGCUAUUAAUUUAGCGUGGUGGGAAACCAGGACCUUUACCUUGAAAAAAUUAGUGUGUUCAAAGCAGGCUUAUGUCUGAAUACAUCAGCGUGGAAUAAUAGAAUAGGACGGUGGUCCUGUUUUGUUGGUUUCUGAAUCACCGUAAUGAUUAAUAGGGAUAGUUGGGGGCAUUAGUAUUCAAUUGUCAGAGGUGAAAUUCUUGGAUUUAUUGAAGACUAACUUCUGCGAAAGCAUUUGCCAAGGAUGUUUUCAUUAAUCAAGAACGAAAGUUAGGGGAUCGAAGACGAUCAGAUACCGUCGUAGUCUUAACCAUAAACUAUGCCGACUAGGGAUCGGACGAUGUUAAUUUUUCUUGACUCGUUCGGCGCCUUACGGGAAAC